GACGAACGCUGGCGGCGUGCUUAACACAUGCAAGUCGAACGAUGAAGCCUAGCUUGCUAGGUGGAUUAGUGGCGAACGGGUGAGUAAUACGUGAGUAACCUACCUUUAACUCUGGGAUAAGCCUGGGAAACUGGGUCUAAUACCGGAUACGACCAAUCUCCGCAUGGGGUGUUGGUGGAAAGCGUUAUGUAGUGGUUAUAGAUGGGCUCACGGCCUAUCAGCUUGUUGGUGAGGUAACGGCUCACCAAGGCGACGACGGGUAGCCGGCCUGAGAGGGUGACCGGCCACACUGGGACUGAGACACGGCCCAGACUCCUACGGGAGGCAGCAGUGGGGAAUAUUGCACAAUGGGCGCAAGCCUGAUGCAGCGACGCCGCGUGAGGGAUGACGGCCUUCGGGUUGUAAACCUCUGUUAGCAGGGAAGAAGAGAGAUUGACGGUACCUGCAGAGAAAGCGCCGGCUAACUACGUGCCAGCAGCCGCGGUAAUACGUAGGGCGCGAGCGUUGUCCGGAAUUAUUGGGCGUAAAGAGCUUGUAGGCGGUUUGUCGCGUCUGCUGUGAAAGGCCGGGGCUUAACUCCGUGUAUUGCAGUGGGUACGGGCAGACUAGAGUGCAGUAGGGGAGACUGGAAUUCCUGGUGUAGCGGUGGAAUGCGCAGAUAUCAGGAGGAACACCGAUGGCGAAGGCAGGUCUCUGGGCUGUAACUGACGCUGAGAAGCGAAAGCAUGGGGAGCGAACAGGAUUAGAUACCCUGGUAGUCCAUGCCGUAAACGUUGGGCACUAGGUGUGGGGAACAUUCCACGUUUUCCGCGCCGUAGCUAACGCAUUAAGUGCCCCGCCUGGGGAGUACGGCCGCAAGGCUAAAACUCAAAGAAAUUGACGGGGGCCCGCACAAGCGGCGGAGCAUGCGGAUUAAUUCGAUGCAACGCGAAGAACCUUACCAAGGCUUGACAUAUACUGGACCGCAUCAGAGAUGGUGUCUCCCUUCGGGCUGGUAUACAGGUGGUGCAUGGUUGUCGUCAGCUCGUGUCGUGAGAUGUUGGGUUAAGUCCCGCAACGAGCGCAACCCUCGUUCUAUGUUGCCAGCACGUUAUGGUGGGGACUCAUAGGAGACUGCCGGGGUCAACUCGGAGGAAGGUGGGGAUGACGUCAAAUCAUCAUGCCCCUUAUGUCUUGGGCUUCACGCAUGCUACAAUGGCCGGUACAGAGGGUUGCGAUACUGUGAGGUGGAGCUAAUCCCUAAAAGCCGGUCUCAGUUCGGAUUGGGGUCUGCAACUCGACCCCAUGAAGUCGGAGUCGCUAGUAAUCGCAGAUCAGCAACGCUGCGGUGAAUACGUUCCCGGGCCU
rnacentral:rRNA from 1 species